rnacentral:rRNA from 1 species
GUGCCAGCCGCCGCGGUAAUACAGAGGGUGCGAGCGUUAAUCGGAUUUACUGGGCGUAAAGCGUGCGUAGGCGGCUUUUUAAGUCGGAUGUGAAAUCCCCGAGCUUAACUUGGGAAUNGCAUUCGAUACUGGGAAGCUAGAGUAUGGGAGAGGAUGGUGGAAUUCCAGGUGUAGCGGUGAAAUGCGUAGAGAUCUGGAGGAAUACCGAUGGCGAAGGCAGCCAUCUGGCCUAAUACUGACGCUGAGGUACGAAAGCAUGGGGAGCAAACAGGAUUAGAUACCCUGGUAGUCCAUGCCGUAAACGAUGUCUACUAGCCGUUGGGGCCUUUGAGGCUUUAGUGGCGCAGCUAACGCGAUAAGUAGACCGCCUGGGGAGUACGGUCGCAAGACUAAAACUCAAAUGAAUUGACGGGGGCCCGCACAAGCGGUGGAGCAUGUGGUUUAAUUCGAUGCAACGCGAAGAACCUUACCUGGCCUUGACAUACUAGAAACUUUCCAGAGAUGGAUUGGUGCCUUCGGGAAUCUAGAUACAGGUGCUGCAUGGCUGUCGUCCGCUCGUGUCGUGAGAUGUUGGGUUAAGUCCCGCAACGAGCGCAACCCUUUUCCUUACUUGCCAGCAUUUCGGAUGGGAACUUUAAGGAUACUGCCAGUGACAAACUGGAGGAAGGCGGGGACGACGUCAAGUCAUCAUGGCCCUUACGGCCAGGGCUACACACGUGCUACAAUGGUCGGUACAAAGGGUUGCUACACAGCGAUGUGAUGCUAAUCUCAAAAAGCCGAUCGUAGUCCGGAUUGGAGUCUGCAACUCGACUCCAUGAAGUCGGAAUCGCUAGUAAUCGCGGAUCAGAAUGCCGCGGUGAAUACGUUCCCGGGCCUUGCACACACCGCCCGUC